AAUUGGCCGGAUUGACUGAAUUGACACAAAUACAAAAGGUUUAGGACUAAAUUGGCACAAAAAAGUUUAGGAUUGAAUUGACACAAUUACAAUAGGUUUAGGAUUGUUUUGGCAAUUAUCUCGAUUUUGGUCCAUUUUUAAUGAAUGCUGACCACCUGUUUGAUGAUAUGCCUGAGCUAAGUCAGUGUGGUUUUAUUCCCAUUGUUGAGCAAUAUGAGUGUAUAUCAGCAUAGUAUACAGUUUGUAAUCAACAUCCUGACUUGAUGACGUGAUUUUUUUUAUCAUUGAAGUUCAUUUGUGCAUGAAAACUAGUUUGUUUUCUAUCCAUUUCUACUGAUUUUUUAGCCAUGUAUUGAUCGAUGUUAAUCAUCAUGUUAUGAGGUUUGUGUUAGCACUGCUGAUGUAGUUGUUGCAUCACGAGGAGGCUAUGAAUUCUUCUUAUUGAAAUUUGAACUCUUGGGAAAGUGCUAAGCUAUUCACGCAGAUGUAAAAGAUUGUGAUUUCUGAUUCAAUAUAUUGAGGCCUGAUUUUAA